rnacentral:rRNA from 1 species
UACAGAGGUCUCAAGCGUUGUUCGGAUUUAUUGGGCGUAAAGGGUGCGUAGGCGGCGCGGUAAGUCGGGUGUGAAAUCUCGGGGCUUAACUCCGGGCCUGCAGUGGGUACGGGCAGACUAGAGUGCGGUAGGGGAGACUGGAAUUCCUGGUGUAGCGGUGAAAUGCGCAGAUAUCAGGAGGAACACCGGUGGCGAAGGCGGGUCUCUGGGCAGUAACUGACGCUGAGGAGCGAAAGCGUGGGGAGCGAACAGG